rnacentral:rRNA from 1 species
ACUAAGCGUACACGGUGGAUGCCCUGGCAGUCAGAGGCGAUGAAGGACGUGCUAAUCUGCGAUAAGCGUCGGUAAGGUGAUAUGAACCGUUAUAACCGGCGAUUUCCGAAUGGGGAAACCCAGUGUGAUUCGUCACACUAUCAUUAACUGAAUCCAUAGGUUAAUGAGGCGAACCGGGGGAACUGAAACAUCUAAGUACCCCGAGGAAAAGAAAUCAACCGAGAUUCCCCCAGUAGCGGCGAGCGAACGGGGAGCAGCCCAGAGCCUGAAUCAGUGUGUGUGUUAGUGGAAGCGUCUGGAAAGGCGUGCGAUACAGGGUGACAGCCCCGUACACAAAAAUGCACAUAUUGUGAGCUCGAUGAGUAGGGCGGGACACGUGGUAUCCUGUCUGAAUAUGGGGGGACCAUCCUCCAAGGCUAAAUACUCCUGACUGACCGAUAGUGAACCAGUACCGUGAGGGAAAGGCGAAAAGAACCCCGGCGAGGGGAGUGAAAAAGAACCUGAAACUGUGUACGUACAAGCAGUGGGAGCACGCUUAGGCGUGUGACUGCGUACCUUUUGUAUAAUGGGUCAGCGACUUAUAUUCUGUAGCAAGGUUAACCGAAUAGGGGAGCCGAAGGGAAACCGAGUCUUAACUGGGCGUUAAGUUGCAGGGUAUAGACCCGAAACCCGGUGAUCUAGCCAUGGGCAGGUUGAAGGUUGGGUAACACUAACUGGAGGACCGAACCGACUAAUGUUGAAAAAUUAGCGGAUGACUUGUGGCUGGGGGUGAAAGGCCAAUCAAACCGGGAGAUAGCUGGUUCUCCCCGAAAGCUAUUUAGGUAGCGCCUCGUGAAUUCAUCUCCGGGGGUAGAGCACUGUUUCGGCAAGGGGGUCAUCCCGACUUACCAACCCGAUGCAAACUGCGAAUACCGGAGAAUGUUAUCACGGGAGACACACGGCGGGUGCUAACGUCCGUCGUGAAGAGGGAAACAACCCAGACCGCCAGCUAAGGUCCCAAAGUCAUGGUUAAGUGGGAAACGAUGUGGGAAGGCCCAGACAGCCAGGAUGUUGGCUUAGAAGCAGCCAUCAUUUAAAGAAAGCGUAAUAGCUCACUGGUCGAGUCGGCCUGCGCGGAAGAUGUAACGGGGCUAAACCAUGCACCGAAGCUGCGGCAGCGACACUAUGUGUUGUUGGGUAGGGGAGCGUUCUGUAAGCCUGUGAAGGUGUACUGUGAGGUAUGCUGGAGGUAUCAGAAGUGCGAAUGCUGACAUAAGUAACGAUAAAGCGGGUGAAAAGCCCGCUCGCCGGAAGACCAAGGGUUCCUGUCCAACGUUAAUCGGGGCAGGGUGAGUCGACUCCUAAGGCGAGGCCGAAAGGCGUAGUCGAUGGGAAACAGGUUAAUAUUCCUGUACUUGGUGUUACUGCGAAGGGGGGACGGAGAAGGCUAUGUUGGCCGGGCGACGGUUGUCCCGGUUUAAGCGUGUAGGCUGGUUUUCCAGGCAAAUCCGGAAAACUAAGGCUGAGGCGUGAUGACGAGGCACUACGGUGCUGAAGCAACAAAUGCCCUGCUUCCAGGAAAAGCCUCUAAGCAUCAGGUAACAUCAAAUCGUACCCCAAACCGACACAGGUGGUCAGGUAGAGAAUACCAAGGCGCUUGAGAGAACUCGGGUGAAGGAACUAGGCAAAAUGGUGCCGUAACUUCGGGAGAAGGCACGCUGAUAUGUAGGUGAAGUCCCUCGCGGAUGGAGCUGAAAUCAGUCGAAGAUACCAGCUGGCUGCAACUGUUUAUUAAAAACACAGCACUGUGCAAACACGAAAGUGGACGUAUACGGUGUGACGCCUGCCCGGUGCCGGAAGGUUAAUUGAUGGGGUCAGCGCAAGCGAAGCUCUUGAUCGAAGCCCCGGUAAACGGCGGCCGUAACUAUAACGGUCCUAAGGUAGCGAAAUUCCUUGUCGGGUAAGUUCCGACCUGCACGAAUGGCGUAAUGAUGGCCAGGCUGUCUCCACCCGAGACUCAGUGAAAUUGAACUCGCUGUGAAGAUGCAGUGUACCCGCGGCAAGACGGAAAGACCCCGUGAACCUUUACUAUAGCUUGACACUGAACAUUGAGCCUUGAUGUGUAGGAUAGGUGGGAGGCUUUGAAGUGUGGACGCCAGUCUGCAUGGAGCCGACCUUGAAAUACCACCCUUUAAUGUUUGAUGUUCUAACGUUGACCCGUAAUCCGGGUUGCGGACAGUGUCUGGUGGGUAGUUUGACUGGGGCGGUCUCCUCCUAAAGAGUAACGGAGGAGCACGAAGGUUGGCUAAUCCUGGUCGGACAUCAGGAGGUUAGUGCAAUGGCAUAAGCCAGCUUGACUGCGAGCGUGACGGCGCGAGCAGGUGCGAAAGCAGGUCAUAGUGAUCCGGUGGUUCUGAAUGGAAGGGCCAUCGCUCAACGGAUAAAAGGUACUCCGGGGAUAACAGGCUGAUACCGCCCAAGAGUUCAUAUCGACGGCGGUGUUUGGCACCUCGAUGUCGGCUCAUCACAUCCUGGGGCUGAAGUAGGUCCCAAGGGUAUGGCUGUUCGCCAUUUAAAGUGGUACGCGAGCUGGGUUUAGAACGUCGUGAGACAGUUCGGUCCCUAUCUGCCGUGGGCGCUGGAGAACUGAGGGGGGCUGCUCCUAGUACGAGAGGACCGGAGUGGACGCAUCACUGGUGUUCGGGUUGUCAUGCCAAUGGCACUGCCCGGUAGCUAAAUGCGGAAGAGAUAAGUGCUGAAAGCAUCUAAGCACGAAACUUGCCCCGAGAUGAGUUCUCCCUGACUCCUUGAGAGUCCUGAAGGAACGUUGAAGACGACGACGUUGAUAGGUCGGGUGUGUAAGCGCAGCGAUGCGUUGAGCUAACCGGUACUAAUGAACCGUGAGGCUUAACC